CCGGUACGCAACACUUAACAUCAAACAGCGUACCCUUACCCUAACCCUUAACACUUAACACAUAACAACUAACGCAACACCUUAUAAUCCUUUUUAUCCUAUAUAUUUCCUUUGUAUCGGGGGCUACUGCCCCCAAACCCCCGCCUUGUCGAUAGUGGUAAACAACUGCGUACCGGUAAAGUUCAAUCUAGCCUAUAUUCAAUCAUUAAUAUUUCUUCAAAUGCGAUUGUCAAGUGCCCUGAGUGAGAAUAUUACCUGAAUUAAUUUAAACUUUAAAUUGUAUUGUUUAAUUCCAGCCAUCAGAGUGCAUGUUUAAUGCUUUGAUAUACAAUGUGUUAAUAUGUUUAAUGCUUGAAAAAAUGGCUUGCAGUUCAAAUUUGAAGGAGAAAAGAAUGGGAAACGGUUGAAGCGGAGUCUUGUAGAGAAGGGUAACACAAAGUUUUCAUCUGCCAUCUCCAAUGCACAGUUCCUUGAAAUGUGUGAAAGAAUGAGGAUUCCCGUGCAAAGAAAAGGAAAAAAAACUGUUCCUGCAUGUACUAGUAUUAAUGUUGAUCAUGAGGUGGAACCAGUGCCAACACCUGUACCUUCAGAAGUUCACCAAGAUUUGAAGAUUUUAAAAGAAAAGUCUGCAGGU